AGCACACACCCUGAUCUCCCCUCCAAUACUGCUAUAGAAGCCAGCUAGUACACUUUUUGGGCCCAGCUGAUGAGUGGAAUCAGAGGGGACAUGUACAUCAGGCUCCCUGACCACGACAGGAGGAAGGCAUCGGAGAGGGAUUCCUUGCUUAGACCCUGUUGAGAACAAAACUGGUGGCAUUUCCUGUUCUGUCUGGUAGUGAACAGGUGGGAAUUUACCACCUUUGGAAGAUCAUACAGGCUACCUCUUUAUGGAGCGACCGCUCAAGAUGAGAGGAGAAGUCCCUGCUGAGCUGGUCUGCCAGCAUAUUUCUGACUCUGGGAAGGUGACAAGCUUCCAGGUGGAUUUCGUGGCUGAUGCAGAAGUCCCACAGACGGAGCGCUUCCUGACAGAGAGCUGAGGAGCGCGCUGCCCCUUGCCUGUUGAUGUAGAACAUUGAGGCUGUGUUGUCAGUCAGGACUCGUACCACCUUGCCCGACAGGUGGGGCAGGAAGACUCCGCACGCCAGCGAGACUGCUCAUAGCUCUUUGACAUUUAUAUGUAAUCGCGCCUCCUCCAGGGACCACAUCCCCUGUGUCUGGAGGUUGCCGAGAUGUUCCCCCUAGCUGAGGUCCAAGGCGUCCAACACCAACUCGAUGGAGCGAGGAGGGUUGUUUCGGAACCCCUUCUAGGACUGUCCCGCAGUAGGUCCACCAUCUCAGCGAGUAGGCCCAGACAGCAGCACGUGGCUUGAAGCACCACGAUGUCCCUUCGGACUUGACGACUGGCUUGUCAAAGGUGGCUCCAGGUCUCGAGGUAUGGGUAACUUUGGAUACCCCAGCACCUGAGGUAAGUCACUACCACCAACAUACAGUUGGUAAACACCCUCGGCGCUGUCGCCAGGCCAAAUGGGAGAAUCGCAAACUGGUAGUGGUGGGGCCCCACCGUAAACUGGAGGAAGCAUCUGUGUCCUUGAAAGAUCACUAUGUGGAAGUAUGCGUCCUUCGAGUCGAGGGCGGCAUACCAGUCUCCCGGAUCAAGGGAGGGGAUGAUAGAGGCCAUAGACACAAUAUGGAACUUUAGCUUCUGUAGGUACUUGUUGAGGUCUCUCAGGUCCAGGAUGGGCUGUAGACCGCUCUUGGCCUUUGGGAUUAAAAAGUACCGGGAAUAAACCCCCAUGUUCCUGUACUGUAGAGGAACUUUUUCCACCACACCUAGCUGUAGUAACCUCUUUACCUCCUGCACAAAGAGACUCUCAUGAGAGGGGUCCCUGAAGAGGGAUGGGGAAGGCAGGUGGGAAGGGGUAGUAGAAAGGAACUGGAGGGUAUAACCCCAUUCCACUGUGCUGAGGACCCAGUGAUCCGAAGUUAUAGUGAUCCAAGCUUGGAGGAAAGGGGAAAGGUGGUCAGAUAACACUGGGAAAGAUGGAUCUGGGAAAGAGUCUGGUAGGUCGCCCUCGGGCACACCCUCAAAACAACUGUUUGGCCCCCUGCUUAUUACGGGUUGAGCCCGACUGGGCAGAGGGUGGAGGUGGGUGGCUCAGGCGGUGCUUGUAACCCUUGGCUUGUUUAUGGGGCUGGUCCUGCCAAAGCUGGCUCCCCUGGCCCUGAGGCUGCUGUAGUUUGAACUGCUUAUAUGCCGGGGCUGGGACGUAGAGACCCAGGGUUUUCAGGGUGGUGCGGGAGACCUUGAGGCCAUGCAACUUGCUGUCUGUUUGCUCCGCAAAUAGGGCCCUGCCGUUGAAGGGCAGGUCCUGCAAUGACUGCUGGGCCCUGGUGGACAACCCAGAGAGGAGCACUUGGUUAUGUGACUCACCACAUGGAAACAGCUGAAGCCAGGUGUGGGCAGCAGCAUCCGAUGCCUCCUGGAGGGCCGCCUUGGCCGCAGUCGUGCACUCAUCAAGUAUGGUUCGGAAAUCCUUCUUGAAAGCCUCGGGGAGCCACCCUUCAAACUUGGCUUGCCACAUAUUGAAGUCAUAUCAGCCAAGGAGGGUGGUUGGCUACCCUCAGCUGAAGGCUGGAAGACGAAUAAACUUUACAUCUGAAAAGAUCCAGCCUC